GGUCAGGUAGCUCAGUUGGUAGAGCAACGGAUUGAAAAUCCGUGUGUCGGCGGUUCAAAUCCGCCCCUGACCA
rfam:Phycisphaerae bacterium ST-NAGAB-D1, complete genome.